UACGAAGGGGGCUAGCGUUGCUCGGAUUGACUGGGCGUAAAGGGCUCGUAGGCGGCCAACUAAGUCAGACGUGAAAUCCCUCGGCUUAACCGGGGAACUGCGUCUGAUACUGGAUGGCUUGAAUCCGGGAGAGGGAUGCGGAAUUCCAGGUGUAGCGGUGAAAUGCGUAGAUAUCUGGAGGAACACCGGUGGCGAAGGCGGCAUCCUGGACCGGCAUUGACGCUGAGGAGCGAAAGCCAGGGGAGCAAACGGG
rnacentral:rRNA from 1 species